GCAUGGCUGUCGUCAGCUCGUGUCGUGAGAUGUUCGGUUAAGUCCGCUAACGAGCGCAACCCUCGCUGUGUGUUAUAUGUGUCGACACGGGACUGCCGGUCGUUAAGCCGGAGGAAGUGGGGAUGAGUGUCAAGUCAGCAUGGCCUUUAUAUCCUGGGCUACACACACGCUACAAUGGCCAACACAAUAGGUUGCUAAGCCGCGAGGUGGCGCCAAUCCAUAAAGUUGGUCUCAGUUCAGAUUGUAGGCUGCAACCCGCCUGCAUGAAGAUGGAGUUGCUAGUAACCGCAGGUCAGCUAUACUGCGGUGAAUACGUUCCCGGGGCUU
rnacentral:rRNA from 1 species